CAAUAGCGUAUAUUAAAGUUGUUGCAGUUAAAAAGCUCGUAGUUGGAUUUCUGAUCGAGACAUCAGGUCGGGUCCGAGAGGAUCAUGUACUUUGAUUUUGUUUUGAUCAUCCUUGGGGAGAGCAUUUCUGGCAUUCAGUUGUCGGGGCUGGGAUCCUCAUCGUUUACUGUGAAAAAAUUAGAGUGUUCAAAGCAGGCCUCGGCCUCUGAAUACAUUAGCAUGGAAUAAUAAGAUAGGACUUUGGUGGUCUAUUUUGUUGGUUUGCACGCCAAAGUAAUGAUUAAUAGGGAUAGUUGGGGGUAUUCGUAUUCAAUUGUCAGAGGUGAAAUUCUUGGAUUUAUGGAAGACGAACUACUGCGAAAGCAUUUACCAAGGAUGUUUUCAUUAA
rnacentral:rRNA from 1 species